rnacentral:rRNA from 1 species
CAAUAGCGUAUAUUAAAGUUGUUGCAGUUAAAAGCUCGUAGUUGGAUUUCGGAGUGGGCCAGUUGGUCCGCCGCAAGGUGUGUUACUGACUGGUUUGCUCUUCUUCGCAAAGACUGCGUGUGCCCUUAAAUGAGUGUGCGUAGGAUUUACGACGUUUACUUUGAAAAAUUAGAGUGUUCAAAGCAGGCUAUUGCUUGAAUACAUGAGCAUGGAAUAAUGGAAUAGGACUUUGGUCCCAUUUUGUUGGUUUCUAGGGCCGAAGUAAUGAUUAAGAGGGACAAUUGGGGGCAGUCCGUCAGUUUCGUUUGUCAGUAGGUGGAAAGUUUCAUUGGGAUUUACGAAAUGACGAACAACUGCGAAAGCACUUGCCAAAGAGU